AAAAAAGGUAAGCUACUAAGAGCGAAUGGUGGAUGCCUUGACUGGUAAAGGCGAUGAAGGACGUACUAGACUGCGAUAAGCUACGGGGAGCUGUCAAGAAGCUUUGAUCCGUAGAUUUCCGAAUGGGGCAACCCAAUGUAUAGAGAUAUACAUUACCUAUAUAGGAGCGAACGAGGGGAAUUGAAACAUCUUAGUACCCUCAGGAAAAGAAAUCAAUAGAGAUUGCGUCAGUAGCGGCGAGCGAAAGCGCAAGAGGGCAAACCCAGUGCUUGCACUGGGGGUUGUAGGACUGCAAUGUGCAAGAGGUAAGUUUAGCAGAACAUUCUGGAAAGUAUAACCAUAGAGGGUGAUAGUCCCGUAUGCGAAAAACAAACCUUAGCUAGCAGUAUCCUGAGUAGGGCGGGACACGAGGAAUCCUGUCUGAAUCCGGGUCGACCACGAUCCAACCCUAAAUACUAAUACCAGAUCGAUAGUGCACAAGUACCGUGAGGGAAAGGUGAAAAGAACUGAGGUGAUCAGAGUGAAAUAGAACCUGAAACCAUUUGCUUACAAUCAUUCAGAGCCCUAUGUAGCAAUACAGGGUGAUGGACUGCCUUUUGCAUAAUGAGCCUGCGAGUUGUGGUGUCUGGCAAGGUUAAGCAAACGCGAAGCCGUAGCGAAAGCGAGUCUGAAUAGGGCGCUUAGUCAGAUGCUGCAGACCCGAAACGAAGUGAUCUAUCCAUGAGCAAGUUGAAGCUAGUGUAAGAACUAGUGGAGGACUGAACCCAUAGGCGUUGAAAAGCCCCGGGAUGACUUGUGGAUAGGGGUGAAAGGCCAAUCAAACUUCGUGAUAGCUGGUUCUCUCCGAAAUAUAUUUAGGUAUAGCGUUGUGUCGUAAUAUAAGGGGGUAGAGCACUGAAUGGGCUAGGGCAUACACCAAUGUACCAAACCCUAUCAAACUCCGAAUACCUUAUAUGUAAUCACAGCAGUCAGGCGGCGAGUGAUAAAAUCCGUCGUCAAGAGGGAAACAACCCAGACUACCAGCUAAGGUCCCUAAAUCUUACUUAAGUGGAAAACGAUGUGAAGUUACUUAAACAACCAGGAGGUUGGCUUAGAAGCAGCCAUCCUUUAAAGAAAGCGUAAUAGCUCACUGGUCUAGUGAUUUUGCGCGGAAAAUAUAACGGGGCUAAAGUAAGUACCGAAGCUGUAGACUUGCACACAACUUAGAUUAUUUAAGUUUAGAAUAUGAGAAACUAAGUUAUAUGUUUAGUUAUAUUUUUACUGAUUUUUAUAGAGUAAAGAUAGAAAUAAAACUUAGUAAAAUCAGUAAAAAUAUUCUUAGACUAAAGUUAAGUAGUUUAAGUUGUGUGCAAGUGGUAGGAGAGCGUUCUAUUUGCGUCGAAGGUAUACCGGUAAGGAGUGCUGGAGCGAAUAGAAGUGAGCAUGCAGGCAUGAGUAGCGAUAAUUAAUGUGAGAAUCAUUAACGCCGUAAACCCAAGGUUUCCUACGCGAUGCUCGUCAUCGUAGGGUUAGUCGGGUCCUAAGUCGAGUCCGAAAGGGGUAGACGAUGGCAAAUUGGUUAAUAUUCCAAUACCAACAUUAGUGUGCGAUGGAAGGACGCUUAGGGCUAAGGGGGCUAGCGGAUGGAAGUGCUAGUCUAAGGUCGUAGGAGGUUGUACAGGCAAAUCCGUAUAACAAUACUCCGAGAACUGAAAGGCUUUUUGAAGUCUUCGGAUGGAUAGAAGAACCCCUGAUGCCGUCGAGCCAAGAAAAGUUUCUAAGUUUAGCUAAUGUUGCCCGUACCGUAAACCGACACAGGUGGGUGGGAUGAGUAUUCUAAGGCGCGUGGAAGAACUCUCUUUAAGGAACUCUGCAAAAUAGCACCGUAUCUUCGGUAUAAGGUGUGGUUAGCUUUGUAUUAGGAUUUACUCCGAAAGCAAGGAAACUUACAACAAAGAGUCCCUCCCGACUGUUUACCAAAAACACAGCACUCUGCUAACUCGUAAGAGGAUGUAUAGGGUGUGACGCCUGCCCGGUGCUCGAAGGUUAAUUGAUGGGGUUAGCAUUAGCGAAGCUCUUGAUCGAAGCCCGAGUAAACGGCGGCCGUAACUAUAACGGUCCUAAGGUAGCGAAAUUCCUUGUCGGUUAAAUACCGACCUGCAUGAAUGGCGUAACGAGAUGGGAGCUGUCUCAAAGAGGGAUCCAGUGAAAUUGUAGUGGAGGUGAAAAUUCCUCCUACCCGCGGCAAGACGGAGAGACCCCGUGGACCUUUACUACAGCUUGACACUGCUACUUGGAUAAGAAUGUGCAGGAUAGGUGGGAGGCUUUGAGUAUAUGACGCCAGUUGUAUAUGAGCCAUUGUUGAGAUACCACUCUUUCUUAUUUGGGUAGCUAACCAGCUUGAGUUAUCCUCAAGUGGGACAAUGUCUGGUGGGUAGUUUGACUGGGGCGGUCGCCUCCCAAAUAAUAACGGAGGCUUACAAAGGUUGGCUCAGAACGGUUGGAAAUCGUUCGUAGAGUAUAAAGGUAUAAGCCAGCUUAACUGCAAGACAUACAAGUCAAGCAGAGACGAAAGUCGGUCUUAGUGAUCCGGUGGUUCUGUGUGGAAGGGCCAUCGCUCAAAGGAUAAAAGGUACCCCGGGGAUAACAGGCUGAUCUCCCCCAAGAGCUCACAUCGACGGGGAGGUUUGGCACCUCGAUGUCGGCUCAUCGCAUCCUGGGGCUGGAGCAGGUCCCAAGGGUAUGGCUGUUCGCCAUUUAAAGCGGUACGCGAGCUGGGUUCAGAACGUCGUGAGACAGUUCGGUCCCUAUCUGCCGUGGGCGUAAGAAGAUUGAAGAGAUUUGACCCUAGUACGAGAGGACCGGGUUGAACAAACCACUGGUGUAGCUGUUGUUCUGCCAAGAGCAUCGCAGCGUAGCUAAGUUUGGAAAGGAUAAACGCUGAAAGCAUCUAAGCGUGAAGCCAACUCUAAGAUGAAUCUUCUCUAAGCUCUCUAGAAGACUACUAGUUUGAUAGGCUGGGUGUGUAAUGGAUGAAAGUCCUUUAGCUGACCAGUACUAAUAGAGCGUUUGGCUUAUCUUUAAUAAAGCAU
rnacentral:rRNA from 1 species